AUGAACGCUGGCGGCGUGCCUAACACAUGCAAGUCGAACGAACCCGAUCUUCGGAGAGGGUUAGUGGCGGAUGGGUGAGUAACACGUAGGUGACCUACCCCGAUGUGGGGGAUAACUACUGGAAACGGUAGCUAAUACCCCAUGUGAUCGCCGUAUCGAGCGGUGAUGAAAGGCGCAAGUCGCGUCGGGAGGGGCCUGCGGCCCAUCAGGUAGUUGGUGGGGUAACGGCCUACCAAGCCGAUGACGGGUAGCUGGUCUGAGAGGAUGGUCAGCCACACUGGAACUGAAACACGGUCCAGACUCCUACGGGAGGCAGCAGUGAGGAAUAUUGCGCAAUGGGCGAAAGCCUGACGCAGCAACGCCGCGUGGGUGAAGAAGGCCUUCGGGUCGUAAAGCCCUUUUCUGGGGGACGAGGAAGGACGGUACCUCAGGAAUAAGUCUCGGCUAACUACGU
rnacentral:rRNA from 1 species